CAUUUGCUCCAAUUUGACAUUCUUGAUUUUGGUAACUAGAAACCGAUUCAAAUUUAAAAUAAACCUACGAUUCCCAUCUACUUUUUUUCUCCCAAAAUUGUCGCUCAUCUUCCACUGGAUGGUUUAACCAUCAGUUUUGGUAUUGGGUGUUUUGAAGAUUACUUUCCUAUUUACAUUUGUCUUUUAGAAUUGUCUACUAUUUUGGGCUUGAAGAAGAAAAAGAAGGAUGUUGUUCAUUUUCUUCAGUUACACCGUCAACAUGUUUGGUUCUACUUCCUUAGUAAUUGUUUGGAAGUUGAUACACAAAAACCUAGAGUCCUAUGUUAAUAUGCUUGGGUCGAAAUUGGAGGACGAAGAAAAAGUAAUGCAGGAUUUUGAUACUAUUUUUGACGAUUACACUAACUCAUGACUAUCACACCACCACCAUCAGACCCACUAGUAACCAUUACCUCUUUGGAGAUGAAGCAAUAAUCAUCUUUUGUGUGAUGUAAGGAUAGUUUAGUUGAAACUAAGCUGAUUUCUCAUCUUAAAAGGGUAUUAUUGAUUUCAAUUUGGGCAUUUUGUUAUCUUAUUUUCUUAUUUCAACUUUUUACUAUGUUUCUUUACACAAUUCUUCACUAUUUUUUUUAUUCAUUUUUGGCUGCAUAGAAGGUGUUUGACAUAAUGUUGGUCCUACAAAACAUAUCAGACCACUAUGGUGGUUGUAAUUUGUAAACCAAGAUUGGUAUUUGUUUGCCUUUUCAGAUACACAUGGAGAAAGAACGAAGAAUAUCAAUUUUUAAUGUAUGUUAUUUCAGUUGUUAAACCUCUAUUUACAAAUUGCAAAAUCAUAUAGGAGAUUUAACCUUAAAAUUAAAUUACCAAUUUACCCUUAACUAAUUCAAUUUGAAUCCCUUCAAAUCAGAAUUUCAUUCAAUUUGAUAUCCCUGGUAAGCCUAAAUCUCUAUAAAUGACCGCCUUCCUAUCUUAUUUGAAUCAUCGAAUUCUUCAAUAAACUUGCAUCCUCUAAUGGGUUUUGAUGGUUGAAGUUUUAGAUUGCACUUUGAAUCUAGUAACUUAACCUUGGAGGAACUUGAUGUGGAUACAAGUGAAGAAAAAGAAGAUUCUGGUGAAGUUGACAAUCUAAAUCCGGAAUCAGAUGGAAUCUCAAAUCCACACCCACAUCAUUCUUUAUGAUAACACUAAUUCAACAGGUGGUGUAGGAGAUGAUGAUGUAGAAGUAGAAACAACCUAGACAAUAGUGAGGAACAUGGAGUAACGAUUAGACACCCUACUGUAGAAUUCAUCAUUGUAAUUGUAGGUUUAUAAUAAGUAUGGACCGAUGAUAAAGGUAAUCAAUUUCCAAGACUUCUUUAAAAUGCUGAUAACCCUUAAUUUGAUAUAUAGAUUUUGGUGUUGCAAUCAUUGUUUUUUAUCAGAUGAAACUCUACCUUAAUAGUGGAGACUGAAUACAGGGUAAUUUUUUUAGUUCACUUUUAUCAUUCAUUGUACAAGAGUAUCACUCAAUUCACCAUUUGUUGCAACAUUUGGGAUUAUAUAUUAUUGUUGACAAUUCUAUAAUUAUUAGGUCAUAGAAGAUUGUAGCAGAUGGGUUGAGCAACUGAUAGUAUCUUCGGUGUAGGAUUCAAAAACAUGGAUGGAUAAUAGGUUAUAAAAGGAUGAGUGACAGAAAGAAUAUAAAGGGUGUAGAUCAAAAGGAAUGAAACUAUUGAUCAUAUGGGAUAAUAGUUAAAUGGAAAAUCAAAACGUUAACCUUCUACGUCUUUAAAUUUGGAGUAAUUGACCUUGACAAAUCUAGAAAUGCAUAGUUCUUUCGGAAUAUUCUUCAUGUGAUUUAACAGAGUUAUAAACCAUUACCAUGGUCUGAACAUACCAGAUGGUAAUAAAAGAUUAGGUAAAACUCUUUGGUCUUUGGUCUCUUGAAUCAUUAACAUACUUUGCGCACCACAUGUUUGAUAAAAUGCUCAAACC